rnacentral:rRNA from 1 species
CCUACGGAGGCAGCAGUGGGGAAUAUUGGACAAUGGGCGCAAGCCUGAUCCAGCCAUGCCGCGUGGGUGAAGAAGGCCUUAGGGUUGUAAACCCCUUUCAGCGGGGAAGCGGUACCCGCAGAAGAAGUCCCGGCUAACUCCGUGCCAGCAGCCGCGGUAAUACGGAGGGGACUAGCGUUGUUCGGAAUUACUGGGCGUAAAGCGCACGUAGGCGGAUUUGUAAGUCAGGGGUGAAAUCCCGGGGCUCAACCUCGGAACUGCCUUUGAUACUGCAAAUCUCGAGUCCGGAAGAGGUGAGUGGAAUUCCUAGUGUAGAGGUGAAAUUCGUAGAUAUUAGGAAGAACACCAGUGGCGAAGGCGGCUCACUGGUCCGGACUGACGCUGAGGUGCGAAAGCGUGGGGAGCAAACAGGAUUAGAUACCCUUGUAGUC